UUGGAGCAACCUGGUCUAGUGGAAGGUGUCCCUGCCCAUGGCAGGGGGCUUGGAAUGAAAUGAUCAUUAAAGUCCCUUCCAACCCGAA